UAUCCACCUUGUCCUUUUAAAUGUAUAUUAAAAAUCAGGUCCAUAAAGCAGUACAUACUUUUGUUGUUUUGAACAGAAUCUGCUAUUUUUCAAGCUAUUAGUCCUUGAAGUCCACAUUAUAACAGAGUAAUCAGCUGAGCAUCUACAUCGCACCACGUCUCAAAUAGCCUGGUUGAUUCUUCCCAGUAACAAUCUUUUCCCUCAAUAAACAUGGCUGCUGCGUGCCUUUACCCUUAGUCUUAGCAGCAGCCAGUGCUCGUCUGAGUGGGCAAUCUGCCCACCUGAGGGAAGAAAACGGAUUGUCUGCGGGGAGGUAAGCUCUUCAAGGACUCUAGUUUGACCCCAGUGUUGUUUAACACCUGUAUGAAACUGCUGAGUGAAAUCAUCCAUGGAUUUGAAGUGCGGUGUCAUCACUGAUGACCCCCAGUUCUACUUCUCCUUUUCAUCAAAUACAGAUGGAAAAUUUAUGACUCCAAAGGGCAGUGUUCUAUCAAAGAGUUUGGCCAAGGCCACUUCACCUACUGGGUGAUGUGAGGACACAGCAAGAUGAAAGUGAAGUUAGUUCAUUUCUUCCCAUCACAACAAAAAGGUUGAUGAAGAAUAUACUUGAUAUCCUGCUGUCCCCAGUUACCUGGGAGUUUGGAGCCUGCCGUUUGAAUAAUGUUUCUUGUACAAUAGGAAUGACAGCAGAAGUGUGGAGAGACUGAUAGGGCUUCCUGCAGGCUCAGCUUUUAUAGUUCAAACUCAUUCUUUACCCUCAGAAUAGAACGGAUAAUAAAUGUGUAAGUAAGUAGCUAGCAAUCUUCAGUCACAGCGGAGUAACCAGUUGCUUUCUUGCAGUUUAAAAACUGCACUUAGAAAUUCUUGCAACUGAACAGUCUUGCUUCACAUUUGCUUCACAUUUCAUGUUUGAUGUCUGCAUGAAACAGAAUACAGUAAAUUGCACUAGUUGUGGCAGAAUUUGAAUAAUGCAAAAUCAAAGUGCUCCAUGAAUUGUUAACCAGGACUUUAGUGAUGAAACGUAUGCAUGUUAAGUUGUCAAUUUAAUGAUGCACCCACCAACAAUAAGGCCCUUUGCUAUAUGUACAUUCAGCACGAUCAAGGGGCCCCAAUGCAAGUAGGAGUUCAGAUGCUCACUGCAGCAGCUGCAUAAAGGCUUCCCUGUUGAUUUCCAUGUUGGACCAGCACUGUGCAUGCAUUCUCAUUGUGCAUCAUAAGCUGGCCCUAAUAUUAAAUCCCAAAUGAAAACCCACCCAUGCAGGAGCAUUGCAUGCACAUUAGAGUGAAUUUAAUGUGCAGUUGGACCCAACUAAAAAUAUAAUUUCUGUCCAAAUAAGGGUGUUAUUAAAAUGGCAUUUUGGCCCUGUGGUCUAGAAAAGAUGAGCACUGUUUCACCUUAUGCCUGCAAAGGUUUAAGCUAGACAAUUCUAUGCUCAGCCAUACCAAUGGAGUAGCAAAGUUAGAGAAACUUUAAACACAGGGAUUGCAAUACUUGCAUGUCAGAGUGCCAGUCCUUAUGCUUUAAAAUCACCCAUGUAGAGCAGCUCCAUGGAUGCAGCCACAUGAGUUGAGAUAAGUCAUUGGUGCAACCAUAUUUAAGUGGAACCAUAUUUAUAGAGACCAUUUUCCAGCAGUGAUCUACAUAAACGUCAUGGCAUAUUUUCCAACCUCUUUACUUGCAUGAAUUGCCACCAGGAAGUAGCACCUAUCAAUGUGAAUGUGCUUUGUGCAUUAAUUCUUCCAUGUAGCUACCCCAUGUGAAGAAUUUUACAUCCAUAGCAAAUGAUGCUCCUCUAUAACAGCGUGUAGUGAAACAGAGUGUAGGAGAGCACAAAUAGGAUGUCUCAGCAUCACAUAAAUACUGAGAAAAGACAUCUCCCCUCUAGCUCAUGGACAAUGAAUGUUGCAAGGCCAAGAAAAAGCAGCAUUUCCCCCUUAUAAUGUCAGUCAUUAUGCCAUUGGUCCGUAGUUUGGAGUGCUG